rnacentral:rRNA from 1 species
CUGUCCCUACGGGGGGCAGCAGUAGGGAAUAUUGCUCAAUGGGGGAAACCCUGAAGCAGCAACGCCGCGUGAGCGAUGAAGGCCUUCGGGUCGUAAAGCUCUGUCCUCAAGGAAGAUAAUGACGGUACUUGAGGAGGAAGCCCCGGCUAACUACGUGCCAGCAGCCGCGGUAAUACGUAGGGGGCUAGCGUUAUCCGGAAUUACUGGGCGUAAAGGGUGCGUAGGUGGUUUCUUAAGUCAGAGGUGAAAGGCUACGGCUCAACCGUAGUAAGCCUUUGAAACUGGGGAACUUGAGUGCAGGAGAG